GACGAACGCUGGCGGCGUGCCUAAUACAUGCAAGUCGAGCGCUGAGGCCCUGUUCUUGUACCAUGUGGAUGAGCCGCGCACGUGUGAGUCACGCGUGGGGACUCUCCCUUUCAGCGGGGGACCACCUUUGGACACGAAUGCUAAUCCCGCAUAAAAACUUGCUGCACAAGUUUUGUGUUUGAAAUAUGCAAUUUCAUCACUCACAGAUGAUCCCGCGUUGUGUUAGCUAGUUGGUGAGGUAACGGCUCACCAAGGCGGUGAUACAUAGCCGACCUGAGAGGGUGAUCGGCCGCAUUGGGAGGGAGACACGGCCCAAACGCCUACGGGAGGGAGCAGUAGGGAAACUUCGGCAAGGGGUGGAAGUCUGAGCGAGCAACGCCGCGUGAGUGAAGAAGGUUGUCGGAUCGUAAAACUCUGUUUGUAGAGAAGAACGUGGGUGAGAGUGGAAAGCUCAGCAAGUGACGGUAACUACCCAGAAAGGGACGGCUAACUACGUG
rnacentral:rRNA from 1 species